UUGCUUGGCGACCAUAGCGUUUUGGACCCACCUGAAUCCAUUCCGAACUCAGAAGUGAAACGAAAUAGCGUCGAUGGUAGUGUGGGGUUUCCCCAUGUGAGAGUAGAACAUCGCCAGGCUU
rnacentral:rRNA from 2 species